UUAUAAAAUUCCUGUAAUUGUUAAGUGUGAUUGAACAACAGCAUAAUACUCUCCUAACCGAUUCCCACAGGUGCAUGCAUUGAGCCAAGGGCUGGGAGAGCACUUUGUUGGGAGCCCUAGUUAAGGGGUUCACGGUGCUUGUGAGGAGCAGAGAUGCGUGAGCCUCCUCGCUGACUUUUCAGGUCCUCUCGCCGCUCUCGGACUCCAUCCUGGCUGAGAAGACGGUGAUCGUCCUGGAUGACCGAGUCACCAUCGCGGAGCUGGGAGUGCAGCUCGUAGCUGGCCUGUCUCUCUCCCUGCAGUCUCACCCAGCAGACAAAAGGGCCAUCGUCUCCACAGUCGCUGCCCUGGAUGUUCUUUAGUCCCCACAACAGGGGCAUAAGGAGGCAUAUUGGAUCCACACUUCCCAUCCCAUCGUGGCCUGAGCCAGUCUUUCAGGUUAAAUCUUACAGUGCUCUGGCGAGGAGGAAGUUCACUUAGAUGCUGGAACGGACCUGAUUGCAGAAAAUACAAUUGUUCUUUGGCCUCAUGGAUCUGUGUUCAAACAUUUGCCAGUGGAAACCCAAUGCUGCAUCCUGCUCUCAACGCCCUCCAGCCAAAGCCAGAAGAAGGAACUGAAGGGCACAACGGGAGCUGCUGCUUUAAAGAUGCUUCCAGGGCUGACUCACAAAUGAAUCAAACGGAGUGUGGCUGGCCUCUUCCUUAUCCCAUGCAAGGGUGAAUGGGAAUAAAUAUCCAUGCCAUUAUCACUUUCCAUGGUGCACCUUCCUGUCAUGCAACUUGGCUUGCCAGUUUCAGGACUGGCCUCAGAAUCAAUUAACAGUGAAUUAUUUAUAUCAGCAGCUGCUGCAAAGUGUUUCCAGCUGUUGUUUCAGGAAAGCCAUCUUGUUCUUUUCAAAUUGUGCCCUUGCCUUUUGUACGUGACCAAAUCCAUCAUCAAAAAUGAAUGCAGUUUUCUUUUCCUUUUCCAGAUACAAAGACACGCUCCCACGCAGCGUCCCUCAGCUCACUCUUGGAAAGUUACGUCAGUCCUUGCUGUGUAAUUUUCACUGUCAUCUUGCUCGAUGGGACUCUUAAUGACCACUGUGUUUGAUCUAAUCUGAUAUGGUUACACAUGAGAUAGGUUCUCCCCCCACCAACUGCAGACACUUGAGAGUCAUUUGUAGGUUACCAUGCACCACUUCACAAGGGAGAAAUUGCAGGAUGGUGCCCCACAAGGACCUGCCCCCUUUCUUCCAUCAUCAAGCACUGCUCAGAAACAUAGCUCUCUUGCCCAGUAACAGAGCCAAAGGACAUCAGCAAGACAAAAUCAUAACAACUUCCAAAGAAGUUCAUUGAAACCAUAUGGUCCUUCUAUUGCUUUUCAUAUAUACGCAAGUCCAUUUCCUUUAGGAAGUUCUUUCACUCUCAUGGAAGCAACCAGUCAAUAGAGAAACUAAUUUGGGAAAAUACAUUCAGUAAAUAUUAACAUGCUAACCAGAUUCAGAAGGGAGGCUUUCAUUUCUUUAUGAGUCUUCUGGGAAUUUAUAAGGGGUUCUGAUGUAAGGAUGUCUUGGGGAGCCAGGAGAAGACCUAGAAUUAAAGUCUGCAUGGGAUUAAAUUUACUGACAACUUUGGAGGAGAGAUUGCAGGAAUUUGGGAUGGGGAAGGCUGUCAUGAACCCCGAGCGAUAAAGUGAGGAGCAGAGUUGAGGAGAGGAUUAUUUUUUCUCCUAAAGAAGAAAAUGCUGGUAAUGACUCUAACCCACCAAGGACUGGUGAUUUUAACAUUAUUACGAGACAGCAGCAUUGACAUGGAAUUUGCAGUUCUCUCCAUGGGCUGUUAGCAGGGGUAGUGACAGUGCUCUGCAGUGCGACUGUUCAGGUAUCAGAACUGGGGGAGAUAAAGGCGGAACCUGGCAGUGAACAAGGACUAGCAAGUUGGUGUGUAGGUACCAAGGAGCCUUCUACUUGGGGUUCUGCAGAAAACUAACAAUAAACAAAACAAACAAACAAACAGGAAGAUGCUUUGAGGACAGCUGGGUUCUUCUUUUAGUAAGUAGAGAGGUAGAAUUCAUGGAAUUUGUGAAUAAACAAUACUGAAUAAACAAUACUGAA